rnacentral:tRNA from 1 species
GAUAGUUCAGUGGGAGAGUGCUACCUUGAUAGGGUAGAGGUCGCUGGUUCGAGCCCAGUCGUAAUCA